UGGGGAAUUUUGGACAAUGGGGGAAACCCUGAUCCAGCCAUCCCGCGUGUGCGAUGAAGGCCUUCGGGUUGUAAAGCACUUUUGGCAGGAAAGAAACGUCGCGGGUUAAUACCCCGCGAAACUGACGGUACCUGCAGAAUAAGCACCGGCUAACUACGUGCCAGCAGCCGCGGUAAUACGUAGGGUGCAAGCGUUAAUCGGAAUUACUGGGCGUAAAGCGUGCGCAGGCGGUUCGGAAAGAAAGAUGUGAAAUCCCAGAGCUUAACUUUGGAACUGCAUUUUAACUACCGGGCUAGAGUGUGUCAGAGGGAGGUGGAAGUCCGCGUGUAGCAGUGAAUGCGUAGAUAUGCGGAGGAACACCGGAUGGCGAAGGCAGCCUCCUGGGAUAACACUGACGCUCAUGCACGAAAGCGUGGGGAGCAAAC
rnacentral:rRNA from 1 species